GUGCCUUAAACUAAUGAGUAAGGAAAAUAUAAAGCUUUGGUAACGCUUAGCUAUGCUAAAUUA
rnacentral:snRNA from 1 species